GACGAACCGAGCGAACGUUGUUCGGAAUCACUGGGCUUAAAGGGCGCGUAGGCGGGUGCUCAAGUCUGUGGUGAAAUCCUCCGGCUCAACCGGAGAACUGCCAUGGAUACUGGGUGCCUCGAGGGGUGGUAGGGGGUAUGCGGAACUAUCGGUGGAGCGGUGAAAAUGCGUUGAUAUCGAUAGGAACUCCGGUGGCGAAGGCGGCAUACUGGACCACUUCUGACGCUGAGGCGCGAAAGCCCAGGGGGGAGCGAAACGGGG
rnacentral:rRNA from 1 species